UGCUGAAAGGCGAGAGUGCUUUCGGGAGCGCGGAGACAGGUGGUGCAUGGCUGUCGUCAGCUCGUGUCGUGAGAUGUUGGGUUAAGUCCCGCAACGAGCGCAACCCUCGUCCUUAGUUGCCAGCAUUAAGUUGGGCACUCUAGGGAGACUGCCGGUGACAAACCGGAGGAAGGUGAGGAUGACGUCAAGUCAGCAUGCCCCUUAUGCUCUGGGCAACACACGUCCUACAAUGGUCGGGACAAAGGGGAGCAAGCUCGCGAGAGUAAGCGAAUCCCAGCAAACUCGGCCUCAGUUCAGAUUGCAGGCUGCAACUCGCCUGCAUGAAGGAGGAAUCGCUAGUAAUCGCAGGUCAGCAUACUGCGGUGAAUUCGUUCCCGGGCCUUGUACACACCGCCCGUCACCCCAUGGAAGCUGGCCAAGCCCGAAGUCGUUACCCUAACCGUUUGGAGGGGGGCGCCGAAGGCUGGGCUAGUGACUGGGGUGAAGUCGUAACAAGGUAACCAAGGGCGAA
rnacentral:rRNA from 1 species